AGUGAACGCUGGCGGUAGGCCUAACACAUGCAAGUCGAACGGCAGCACAGUAAGAGCUUGCUCUUACGGGUGGCGAGUGGCGGACGGGUGAGGAAUACAUCGGAAUCUACUUUUUCGUGGGGGAUAACGUAGGGAAACUUACGCUAAUACCGCAUACGACCUACGGGUGAAAGCAGGGGAUCUUCGGACCUUGCGCGAUUGAAUGAGCCGAUGUCGGAUUAGCUAGUUGGCGGGGUAAAGGCCCACCAAGGCGACGAUCCGUAGCUGGUCUGAGAGGAUGAUCAGCCACACUGGAACUGAGACACGGUCCAGACUCCUACGGGAGGCAGCAGUGGGGAAUAUUGGACAAUGGGCGCAAGCCUGAUCCAGCCAUACCGCGUGGGUGAAGAAGGCCUUCGGGUUGUAAAGCCCUUUUGUUGGGAAAGAAAAGCAGCAGGUUAAUACCCCGCUGUUCUGACGGUACCCAAAGAAUAAGCACCGGCUAACUUCGUU
rnacentral:rRNA from 1 species